rnacentral:rRNA from 1 species
GAUGAACGCUGGCGGCGUGCCUAAUACAUGCAAGUCGAGCGAACGGACGAGAAGCUUGCUUCUCUGAUGUUAGCGGCGGACGGGUGAGUAACACGUGGAUAACCUACCUAUAAGACUGGGAUAACUUCGGGAAACCGGAGCUAAUACCGGAUAAUAUUUUGAACCGCAUGGUUCAAAAGUAAAAGACGGUCUUGCUGUCACUUAUAGAUGGAUCCGCGCUGCAUUAGCUAGUUGGUAAGGUAACGGCUUACCAAGGCAACGAUGCAUAGCCGACCUGAGAGGGUGAUCGGCCACACUGGAACUGAGACACGGUCCAGACUCCUACGGGAGGCAGCAGUAGGGAAUCUUCCGCAAUGGGCGAAAGCCUGACGGAGCAACGCCGCGUGAGUGAUGAAGGUCUUCGGAUCGUAAAACUCUGUUAUUAGGGAAGAACAUAUGUGUAAGUAACUGUGCACAUCUUGACGGUACCUAACCAGAAAGCCACGGCUAACUACGUG